GUGGGGAAUCUUGGACAAUGGGCGCAAGCCUGAUCCAGCAAUGCCGCGUGCGUGAAGAAGGCCUUCGGGUUGUAAAGCGCUUUUGUCAGGGAGCAAAAGGUGGUGGCUAAUAUCCAUCGCUCUUGAGAGUACCUGAAGAAUAAGGACCGGCUAACUACGUGCCAGCAGCCGCGGUAAUACGUAGGGUCCAAGCGUUAAUCGGAAUUACUGGGCGUAAAGCGUGCGCAGGUGGUUUGUUAAGCACGAUGUGAAAUCCCCGAGCUCAACUUGGGAAUUGCAUUGUGAACUGGCUAACUAGAGUACGGCAGAGGGGGGUGGAAUUCCACGUGUAGCAGUGAAAUGCGUAGAGAUGUGGAGGAACACCGAUGGCGAAGGCAACCCCCUGGGCUGAUACUGACACUCAUGCACGAAAGCGUGGGGAGCAAACAGGAUUAGAAACCCGUGUAGUCC
rnacentral:rRNA from 1 species